rnacentral:lncRNA from 1 species
GAAACCUUUAGAGGGAAGAUCCUCAUUUUUUACAAUUUUGUUCCUUUUCAUCAUAGAAAACAUGUUUAAGAUAAAAUACAAACUUUACCUACCCCAAAUUCAUAAAGUACAUUUAGUGCUGUAUAGCACUAAAACUUAGAGAUACAGACACUGUACUUACUUUUUAAGAAUUAGAGACAGUAACUCCAAAAAUAAUUGUCCUUUUUUCUUUCUUUUUUUUUUUUUACAAUAAGGCUCUUGAAAAUUGUCAUUACUUGUGUUUUCCUAUACAUUCAUCUGUGUGAAAGCCUUUUUCUUCUUUGAUUUAAAAAAAUUAACUAUACAGUUAAUGGUUUAGAACUUAGAACUACUUAGAAUUAAUGCUAAAGUGUCAGGAAGAAAUUAAUUUAGCUUCAAUAAUUGUGACUGGCCUCAGGAAUUCUCCCUUCCACACCUGCCCACCUCACCUCACCGCACCGCACCGCACCGCACCGCACCAGAGCCAGAGCAGCUGCUUGUCUGCAGCAGGACACAGUUCCUACAUACGUUUCAGUUCUUUCAUGGUAAGCUCAAUGGACUUUGAAUUGUUUACAGUGCUGUAUGUCCAAUUGUUAAAUGUACCAUUCUGAACGAUGUUAAAGCAAGUGUGGUUUAUUUAUGGCAUGAACCAUGUAACUUGAAAUAUGAACUUACAAGGAGGGGCACUCAUUAGGUAACAAGUUCUUACACCAAACUUCCUUGAUGAAAUAAGCCAAAAUAAUCCUAAAAUUCAUUAGAAGAACUUGAUAAAAGACUCAAAUAAAUGUUAGAAAGAGCCCAUAAUUUUAGGACUCCUAUAAAAUUCUUCCUUGUUUGUUAAUGCUAUUAAAACUCAGAUUCGAGGGAAAUACCAGCUUCCCCUUGAGUCACUUUGAAAUAGUUAAUUCAACAGCACCAUGUUAGAAAUAUAUUGGCAGCCAAGACUCUGAACUCUGCAGAAACAUUUGUUUCACCCAGACUUCAAACUCUAGCCCUGACUAUGAUGCCCCUGUGUGCAUUUACAAUAAAGACUCCAACGGAGGG